rnacentral:lncRNA from 1 species
AGUAAACAUAUUUAAAGCUCCUUAGUGAUUGUUUACAGACAAUGGAAAAAAUUUUUCUGACUAUGCUCUGAACCUGGGAUUUAAGGUGGGCUCUUUUUCUUUCUUUUAGGCAUAGAAUGUACUAGUCAGGAAAUUAUAGCAUUAUUAGAUCUGGAAUGCAUGACAAGAACAGGUUUGGGAAGACUUGGAGGGGAAAAGUAAAUUGUUAUUCUUAAAAUGAGGUGUGAAUAGCAAUUAACAGAACGGAUUUGAGUGGGGUGGAUAGUACCAGAUCACAAGCUAAUUGUAAACAAGCAAUAUAAUGUUGACUUUCUUUUAAAUAUGAACUUUAAAAUGGCUUGACCCUCUAGUUCCCAUGUAGGGCCCAUGGUAACUCCUGUAUCUAGGACUAAACUCUAUAAAAAUCGUGAAUAUCUCCCCAGGGCUGCAGAGACUAGUUAAACUUGUUACUGUGCGAACUCUGCCGGCUGUUGCCUUUCCUUGGCUUCCUUCUCAACUCCAUGUUUACAGACCUGCCCCAAAGCAACCACAUUCUUACAAUCAGUCUUCACUCUAUCCAUACUGAUGGCCUGAGCAAGAGAGGAAGCAGGGGCCCAGACUGGUCAUUUCCAAAGUGAGAUGCACACUCCUGGCGUAGGAGGGGAGCAAGACGUCCCAUUUGGUGUGGAAACUGCUACUAGAAAAUUUCUACUAAUUUUGUCUUAAAAAAAAAAUAAAGCUUUACCAAAAUUUCA